UCAAUUUGAUCCACUAAAUGUGCUUUGUUUUGCCACUGACAGGCUUAGAUUAUUAUUCUAAUUGUCUCACAACAUUAUGGAGAUGAUCCCAACAGAGGUAGAUCUUAAAAACCUCUUUGAUACCUUUUCUGUUUAACCAGAAACAGCUCUGAAGUAGCUAGUGCAAAACCCACCAGACUCCAUUUAAAAAAACUAAAUUUUUAGUGUGUGUAGAGCCAACAUAUUUUCACAUGUAAAUCAGUAAACUGUAUGUCUAUUUCAACCAAAACCAGAGUUGUGAUGGUUGGAAAAAUGGAAAGACUACCAAAAACGACUUUUCAUAGUUUUAUUUUUUUUCUGUCAACUUUGAAUGACGUGUAUUACAUGAUGCUAAAAUUAUUGUUUAUUUAC